AGAAAGAAGAAAUCUUGCUUAAGAACGAUGACUGAGAUUCAGCAGCUUCUUUUUCCAUGACAGAUAACCUAACCCAUAUGAAUACCAGUGAGAUCAUGAGAUUUCAUGAUAAUGAGAUCAUGUUGAAGGCUACAGACAAACAAGUGGGAAUUUUCACUUUCCUUUGACGAACCACAUUUUAAGAAGUCAAAUGGUAGGAUCCUCCAUACACACAUCAGUUUAAUUAUAAACAAAACUGAGCAAUUCCGCUUUAAAGGCUUCUGCUGCGUAUCUUCGCUUUUAAGGAGUAUGGACACUACCAGAAGACUUGACUCAUAAUGUCUGCUGCUUUAUCUCCACAUCAUUCUUGUACCAGUGGGGGCAACAGUUCAGACAUGGAUGACC